rnacentral:rRNA from 1 species
AGGGCACCACCAGGAGUGGAGCCUGCGGCUUAAUUUGACUCAACACGGGAAAUCUCACCAGGCCCGGACACUGGAAGGAUUGACAGAUUGAGAGCUCUUUCUCGAUUCGGUGGGUGGUGGUGCAUGGCCGUUCUUAGUUGGUGGAGUGAUUUGUCUGGUUAAUUCCGAUAACGAACGAGACUCUGUCCUGCUAAAUAGUUCCAGCGUCCUUAGUGCGCUGGAAAUUCUUCUUAGAGGGACUGGCGGCGUCUAGCCGCACGAGAUUGAGCAAUAACAGGUCUGCGAUGCCCUUAGAUGUUCUGGGCCGCACGCGCGCUACACUGAAGGGAUCAGCGUGUCUUCCCUCUCCGAGAGGAGCGGGUAACCCGCUGAACCCCCUUCGUGGUAGGGAUUGGGGCUUGCAAUUAUUCCCCAUGAACCAGGAAUUCCCAGUAAGCGCAAGUCAUAAGCUUGCGUUGAUUACGUCCCUGCCCUUUGUACACACCGCCCGUCGCUACUACCGAUUGAACGUUUUAGUGA